rnacentral:rRNA from 1 species
AGCGAACGCUGGCGGCAGGCUUAACACAUGCAAGUCGAACGGGCAUCUUCGGAUGUCAGUGGCAGACGGGUGAGUAACACGGGGGAACGUACCCUUCGGUUCGGAAUAACUCAGGGAAACGUGAGCUAAUACCGGAUACGCCCUUGUGGGGAAAGGUUUACUGCCGAAGGAUCGGCCCGCGUCUGAUUAGCUUGUUGGUGGGGUAACGGCCUACCAAGGCGACGAUCAGUAGCUGGUCUGAGAGGAUGAUCAGCCACACUGGGACUGAGACACGGCCCAGACUCCUACGGGAGGCAGCAGUGGGGAAUAUUGGACAAUGGGCGCAAGCCUGAUCCAGCCAUGCCGCGUGAGUGAUGAAGGCCUUAGGGUUGUAAAGCUCUUUUGUCCGGGACGAUAAUGACGGUACCGGAAGAAUAAGCCCCGGCUAACUUCGUG